UUAAAUUGAAGAGUUUGAUCAUGGCUCAGAUUGAACGCUGGCGGCAGGCCUAACACAUGCAAGUCGAACGGUAACAGGAAACAGCUUGCUGUUUCGCUGACGAGUGGCGGACGGGUGAGUAAUGUCUGGGAAACUGCCUGAUGGAGGGGGAUAACUACUGGAAACGGUAGCUAA
rnacentral:rRNA from 1 species